rnacentral:rRNA from 1 species
CAUGCAAGUCGAACGGAAAGGCCCUUCGGGGUACUCGAGUGGCGAACGGGUGAGUAACACGUGGGUGAUCUGCCCUGCACUUUGGGAUAAGCCUGGGAAACUGGGUCUAAUACCGAAUAGGACCAUGGGAUGCAUGUCUUGUGGUGGAAAGCUUUUGCGGUGUGGGAUGGGCCCGCGGCCUAUCAGCUUGUUGGUGGGGUGAUGGCCUACCAAGGCGACGACGGGUAGCCGGCCUGAGAGGGUGUCCGGCCACACUGGGACUGAGAUACGGCCCAGACUCCUACGGGAGGCAGCAGUGGGGAAUAUUGCACAAUGGGCGCAAGCCUGAUGCAGCGACGCCGCGUGGGGGAUGACGGCCUUCGGGUUGUAAACCUCUUUCAGUAUCGGCGAAGCUUGCGGGUUUUCUCGCAGGUGACGGUAGGUACAGAAGAAGCACCGGCCAAC